GGGCGUGUGGCUCAGUUGGUAGAGCGUUCGCUUAGCAUGCAUCAGUGUAUGCGAAAGGUCCUGGGUUCGAUUCCCAGCCCGUCCA